rnacentral:rRNA from 1 species
UACGAAUGGAGCGAGCGUUGUUCGGAAUCACUGGGCGUAAAGCGUAUGUAGGUGGAUUGGAAAGUCAGGAGUGAAAUCCCAGAGCUUAACUCUGGAACUGCUUCGGAAACUCCCAGUCUAGUGUCCCGGAGAGGUUGGCGGAAUUCCGAGUGUAGAGGUGAAAUUCGCAGAUAUUCGGAAGAACACCAGUGGCGUAGGCGGCCAACUGGACGGGUACAGACACUGAGAUACGAAAGCGUGGGGAUCAAACAGG